rnacentral:rRNA from 1 species
UACGUAGGGUGCAAGCGUUGUCCGGAAUUAUUGGGCGUAAAGAGCUCGUAGGCGGUUUGUCGCGUCUGCUGUGAAAACCUAAGGCUCAACCUUGGGCUUGCAGUGGGUACGGGCAGACUAGAGUGCGGUAGGGGUGACUGGAAUUCCUGGUGUAGCGGUGGAAUGCGCAGAUAUCAGGAGGAACACCGGUGGCGAAGGCGGGUCUCUGGGCCGGUACUGACGCUGAGGAGCGAAAGCGUGGGGAGCGAACAGG